GAGCUGGCUUUGCAUCCAGAGCCCCCACUGAAAUCCUCUCGAUGGGAGGCUGUCACUUUGUGCUACGCCGGAGUCUGCGACCCCGUCCUGCGUCCCACUGCUGAGGGGCUGUAUGUGUACUUGUAGACCUGCACGGGGAUGAAGUCAGAUGUGAUGGCAAUCACCAGUCCAUUCCCAAUGACAGCCAGGAUUCCGAUGGCUUCCAGGACCUGCACCCAAAUUCCUGCAGGAGAGGAGAAGGUUAGUGAUGCUCCCUUGACAGCU
rnacentral:lncRNA from 1 species